UACGUAGGGUGCGAGCGUUAAUCGGAAUUACUGGGCGUAAAGCGUGCGCAGGCGGUUUUGUAAGCCAGAUGUGAAAUCCCCGGGCUUAACCUGGGAAUGGCAUUUGGGACUGCAAGGCUUGAGUGCGGCAGAGGAGACUAGAAUUCCUGGUGUAGCAGUGAAAUGCGUAGAUAUCAGGAGGAAUACCGAUGGCGAAGGCAGGUCUCUGGGCUGACACUGACGCUCAUGCACGGAAGCGUGGGGAGCAAACAGG
rnacentral:rRNA from 1 species